rnacentral:rRNA from 1 species
UACGUAGGGUGCGAGUGUUGUCCGGAAUUAUUGGGCGUAAAGGGCUCGUAGGCGGUUUGUCGCGUCGGGAGUGAAAACCUUGGGCUUAACUCAGGGCUUGCUUUCGAUACGGGCAGACUAGAGGUAUGCAGGGGAGAACGGAAUUCCUGGUGUAGCGGUGAAAUGCGCAGAUAUCAGGAGGAACACCGGUGGCGAAGGCGGUUCUCUGGGCAUGAUCUGACGCUGAGGAGCGAAAGUGUGGGGAGCGAACAGG